GGCCUUUCGGGUUGUAAACCUCUUUUAGUAGGGAAGAAGCGAAAGUGACGGUACCUGCAGAAAAAGCACCGGCUAACUACGUGCCAGCAGCCGCGGUAAUACGUAGGGUGCAAGCGUUGUCCGGAAUUAUUGGGCGUAAAGAGCUCGUAGGCGGUUUGUCGCGUCUGCUGUGAAAUCCCGAGGCUCAACCUCGGGCUUGCAGUGGGUACGGGCAGACUAGAGUGCGGUAGGGGAGAUUGGAAAUCCUGGUGUAGCGGUGGAAUGCGCAGAUAUCAGGAGGAACACCGAUGGCGAAGGCAGAUCUCUGGGCCGUAACUGACGCUGAGGAGCGAAAGCAUGGGGAGCGAACAGGAUUAGAUACCCUGGUAGUCCAUGCCGUAAACGUUGGGCGCUAGAUGUAGGGACCUUUCCACGGUUUCUGUGUCGUAGCUAACGCAUUAAGCGCCCCGCCUGGGGAGUACGGCCGCAAGGCUAAAACUCAAAGGAAUUGACGGGGGCCCCGCACAAGCGGCGGAGCACGCGGAUUAAUUCGAUGCAACGCGAAGAAAACUUACCAAGGCUUGACAUACACCGGAAAACGGCCAGAGAUGGUCGCC
rnacentral:rRNA from 1 species